CAGUAGCCACGGUAAUACGAAGGGUGCGAGCGUUACUCGGAAUUACUGGGCGUAAAGCGUGCGUAGGUGGUUGUUUAAGUCUGCUGUGAAAGCCCUGGGCUCAACCUGGGAAUUGCAGUGGAUACUGGGCGACUAGAGUAAGGUAGAGGAUAGUGGAAUUUCCGGUGUAGCAGUGAAAUGCGUAGAGAUCGGAAGGAACAUCUGUGGCGAAGGCGACUAUCUGGGCCAACACUGACACUGAGGCACGAAAGCGUGGGGAGCAAACAGGAUUAGAUACCCCGGUAGUCCCUGUCUCUUAUAC
rnacentral:rRNA from 1 species